AGCGAACGCUGGCGGCAGGCCUAACACAUGCAAGUCGAACGAAGUCUUCGGACUUAGUGGCGGACGGGUGAGUAACACGUGGGAACGUGCCUUUAGGUUCGGAAUAACUCAGGGAAACUUGUGCUAAUACCGAAUGUGCCCUUCGGGGGAAAGAUUUAUCGCCUUUAGAGCGGCCCGCGUCUGAUUAGCUAGUUGGUGAGGUACAGGCUCACCAAGGCUACGAUCAGCAGCUGGUCUGAGAGGAUGACCAGCCACAUUGGGACUGAGACACGGCCCAAACUCCUACGGGAGGCAGCAGUGGGGAAUCUUGCGCAAUGGGCGAAAGCCUGACGCAGCCAUGCCGCGUGGAUGAUGAAGGUCUUAGGAUUGUAAAAUCCUUUCACCGGUGAAGAUAAUGACUGUAGCCGGAGAAGAAGCCCCGGCUAACUUCGUGCCAGCCGCCGCAGUAACAC
rnacentral:rRNA from 1 species